GACGUAGGGCGCGAGCGUUGUCCGGAUUUAUUGGGCGUAAAGAGCUCGUAGGCGGCUUGUCGCGUCGUGUGUGAAAUCUCAGGGCUCAACUCUGACAUUGCAUACGAUACGGGCAGGCUUGAGUUCGGUAGGGGAGACUGGAAUUCCUGGUGUAGCGGUGAAAUGCGCAGAUAUCAGGAGGAACACCGGUGGCGAAGGCGGGUCUCUGGGCCGAUACUGACGCUGAGGAGCGAAAAGCGUGGGGGAGCGAACAGG
rnacentral:rRNA from 1 species